GACGUAGGGCGCGAGCGUUGUCCGGAAUCAUUGGGCGUAAAGCGCGUGUAGGCGGUCCGGUAAGUCCGCUGUGAAAGUCGGGGGCUCAACCCUCGAAUGCCGGUGGAUACUGUCGGGCUAGAGUGCGGAAGAGGCGAGUGGAAUUCCUGGUGUAGCGGUGAAAUGCGCAGAUAUCAGGAGGAACACCAAUUGCGAAGGCAGCUCGCUGGGACGUUACUGACGCUGAGACGCGAAAGCGUGGGGAGCAAACAGG
rnacentral:rRNA from 1 species